rnacentral:lncRNA from 1 species
UUUUGAAAAACCAAACAGGCGAAAAACUAAAAUAGAGAUUUUUUUACGGAAAACUUUAAUUUUCAUACUUUUUCAAUGAACCAAACACCCCCUAGUUAAUCCUAGAUCUGGUACCGUUUGGUUUGGGUAUAAGUAAGAACUAGCUAUUACAAAGAUAGAUACAAAUAUGAAAUAAGAAAAAUAUUAGAUAGUUUUAUAUAGAAAAUGGAGGUGUUGGUAGGGAUAGUUAUAACCGGUUAUUAUAGAUAACCGAGAACUACUGUUCUCGGGUAAAAAAUUAGCGUUUGGGUAUAAAGGAGGGAUAAGAGCCUAUCCCUAUUCCUAUCCCCUAACCAAACACUACUAGAAGAAAUGGGAAUAUUUGAAAGAGUUUUUUAAAAUCAAUAAGGAUAUUUUGGUCCUGCACGAAUAAAUAAAAUAUUUUUGAAGUUAGAUAUUUUGUCGGUAAAAAAUAG